rnacentral:rRNA from 1 species
CCUACGGGAGGCAGCAGUGAGGAAUAUUGGUCAAUGGUCGGGAGACUGAACCAGCCAAGCCGCGUGAGGGAUGAAGGUACAGAGUAUCGUAAACCUCUUUUGUCAGGGAACAAAGGCGGGGACGUGUCCCCGGAUGAGUGUACCUGAAGAAAAAGCAUCGGCUAACUCCGUGCCAGCAGCCGCGGUAAUACGGAGGAUGCGAGCGUUAUCCGGAUUUAUUGGGUUAAAAGGGGGGGCAGGCGGUUUGUUAAGUCAGCGGUGAAAGCCCGGGGCUAAACCCCGGGCCGACGUUGAAACUGGCAGUCUCGAGUUGGAGUGAAGUAUGCGGAAUGCGCGGUGUAGCGGUGAAAUGCAUAGAUAUCGCGCAGAACUCCGAUUGCGAAGGCAGCAUGCCGGCUCCACACUGACGCUGAGGCACGAAAGCGUGGGUAUCGAACAGGAUUAGAUACCCUUGUAGUC